rnacentral:tmRNA from 1 species
GGGCCUGUCCUGGUAUUGACGGGAAAGUGUAGUCGCCUCGUAAGCAUGCCGGAGCAUAAGCGGUUACUCCGUAAAAACUAACGCUUAAACAAUAGUUGGCAACACUCAGUAUGCCAUGGCUGCCUAAUCCAUUGGAUUAGAAUGCCUUUAUGCCGCCCGGUUGAGGUUCCAUACACAUCGUGCCGCGUAUCAACCACUUUGGGACUAGUUUGCAGAACGCCGUUACUGCAGGUGAAACUUCAACGGCUAAGGUGCGGAGUGGUCGGUUUUGGAACCUGUCCCGCACUCGAAAAUCCUAAUCUGAAAAUAAGCAUGUAGAAAGCGUUUCGACGCUUUGUCCGGACGCGGGUUCGACUCCCGCCAGGUCCACAA